GCCCAGCGCAUAACCUCCCGGGCUACCAAGCCUGCGGCGGAAUGUUGCGUUAAGGGAAAGGUCGUUAUUAAGCCCUGCACUACAUGGCCUAAGCUUUGGCUUGAAUUUCCACUGUUAUCCUAACGGGUGCAACGGCUCCACAGAGGGUGUUAGACCCGUGUGGCCAUGUGGUUAAAUGUGCGUGGGUUCGGCUUUAUUCCCUGAGAGUCGCGUUGCUUGGACAUGCAGCGCUAAGCAGGUCGUAAACUCGACCUAAGGCUAAAUAUUUUCACAGAACCGAUAGUAAACAAGUACCGUGAGGGAAAGUUGAAAAGUACUCUGAAGAGAGAGUUAAAAGACCGUGAAACCGCUUAGAGUAUAAGCCAAUGGUAUCCUGGAAGGCUGGAGAUGACGGGUGGUGCAUUCCCCAAUUGUGGGAGGUGUAUCCGAAGUUACCGUUUGUGCAAGUGAUCUUGAAGGCAUGGUGGGGAAUCCCUCGGAACAGUGGCAUUGAGUUGAUAACACUCCGCCAACACCUUGCGGGUAACUGACAGUGGUAACAGGGAACGUUCUAAUGAGGAACCGAACCGAGGCUGUACUUUUGCAAGCGCCAGUUUUGAGGCACACGAACGAGUACUUUUAUACAGCUGCACCGCAAUCCUUUAUAAGGUCACCCUCGUGAGGUAAAGGAGAGAGUGUGGAGUGUCAAGCCCGCUCUCUUUUCUCAUAUGAGCCGUGCGCGUUAUCCUAUGGUGUCUUAUAUGUGUGUGCGAGCAUUUAUUUGCUGUGCAUGCUCCUUCGCAUACUACCACCGCCGUGUGCAUGUGUGCGUUGGACCUGGGGUCGGCCGGCUUCUUUACCGUCCAGACGCGAGUUGGUACGAUCCUAAGUGAAGAUUGUUUCUGACAUGCCUGAACCCUGUAGUGUGGUUCGAACUGGGCGCACGACUCAACGUAGAUGCAUUUUAACUACCAUUUCUUCGAAUGACUUCUCUAUCUUGUGAGUUGGUAGGGAAGAUAGGGGCGAAGAUUUCCGAGGGUCUCCUGGAUACGCCUCAGCCCUAUGUCAACAGCAUGUGAGAAUUGGAGAGAAAGCCAGGAAAACGGGGUGCAUGGGGGAACGGCUAUUUGGUGUAUUAUUCCAGAGCCAUUGGUCACGUCUCGAAACACGGGCCAAGGAGCAUAGCAUGUGCGCAAGUCUAAGGGAUAAGAAAUCCUGGAGGCAAAGUGAAAGCAAAUGGUGUGUUUGUGUCGAGCUCUCGUGGUUCGAUGCAUUCAGCUUGCGAUGAGCGUAAUUCUCGGGAGAGAUAGCAAUAUCUUUUUCGGAUGACUGCGCCCCGCGGUUUAAACCGAGUUGAUCCGUCGCAAUAAAGCCUUCAUGGCGAUGCGAGGGCGCAAACUCCAGGCUCUCUGUAUAAGGGUAUUCGUAUCCUUGAGAGCACUGUGUAGCGUGCAUGCUAUAACCCGAAAGAUAGUGAACUAUGCCUGGCGAGGG
rnacentral:rRNA from 1 species